CUUUGCCUUACGAGAGAGAGAGAGACAGACAGACAGAGAGAAGAGAAUGGUGGGUGGAGGAUUUGUAGAAGGCGGGCACCUGAGAAGGGCGCAUCUUAACGAGUACAGGAUCACUAGGUAUUUCGUAUUUGCCUGCAUUAUUGCGGCCCUUGGUGGAUCGCUUUUUGGGUACAAUCUGGGCGUUUCGGGUGAAGUGACCUCUAGGGACGAUUUCCUGAAGGAGUUCUUCCCAAAAGUGAACCGGAGAAAGCAAGAGCAUCUGAACGAGACCAAUUACUGCAAGUACGACAACCAGAUCCUGACGCUCUUCACUUCUUCUCUCUACUUUGCGGGCCUAGUCACUUGAAUGAGGCCAACACCAGUGCUGUGUUGUACAGCCUCACUAUCCGCCAGAGAGAAAUGGUGGAGAGCUAUCGGCGGUGGACAGUGAGGUCAAGACCGAAGUGCCCAGACUAUCGGGUAGCCUGGAUGAUUCCCGGCUGAAACUAAGGCAGGAGCCGGCAAAGUUGGGGGAUGAUCCGGGUUACGAGGACAUGCCCAUGGAGGAAUUUGCAGUGGCAUAUCUUAGAGGGGUUUUGGAUGGCAAGAGGGGAAAGGGGUGGGAAAGAACGCCAAGGAGGAUGUUCCGGUUAGAUGCAAGGCUUUUAUGCUUCCUGUACUGCAAAUUCUGCCCCUUCUUUUUAUCUGGUCUUUUUCGUUUUGUUAACAAAUGAUAGUUCGAAUCCUUAACUUUUGCCCAAAAACUACUACUUUUUCCCACCAUUUGCUUUUUAUAUCAUGUAAAGGCUUCACUUAAGUGCUUUUCCUGAGGGAUAUCCAUGAUAAGCUGAUUUACAGACACAGGAAAGUUAAAUGUAUUCAUUUUAUCAGGAUAUCAUGUAUGAUUCGUGUUACCAUGAACUCUCUGUUUUCCUGUCUUUAAAUGAAAAGAAUGCUUCAUGCUAAUGAAUGAAGUUGUCAAAAUAAAUAUCUCUGUGUUUCUAUGACUUUUCUUUUCUUAAGAAACAUGCAUAUGUGGAUUUCUAGUUUAAUAUUAAAUGGACUUUAACGGACCACCAGAAUGACUGGACAAUGUUCUUGAUAGUCUGUUUAUUACUUUUAUUGCUUGAAUGAACAAUACAGCUUGCAUAUAUUGUCAGGAACUGUGUUUAUGCCACCAAAGUGGUCCUUAGGCUAUCAUCAAUGGUGCUGGAGCUAUGACUCUGAUAACAAAGUUUGAGAGGUUGGCCCUUCCAAUGCAUCUUGCUUGAUUCUACGGUCUUUCCUCCACAACCCGCAUUUCCUUCUACCUGAUUGAAUAACAAGGACUACUUCUCUGAUCCAAAAUCUUUGGUAGAUGGUCUCCACCAACACGGGUUCAAAGCCAUCUGGAUACUUGAUCCUAGUUUUAAACGUGAAGAGGGGCCUUAUGUCUAUGACAGUGGUUGCAAAAGUGAUGUCUGCAUCAAAGCAGCAGAUGGAACUCUAUUUGUUGGGGAGGUGUGGCCCGAUCCUUGUGUAUUCCCUAAAUUUACACGGUCAAGAGUCCAUCGCUGGUGGGUUAAGUUAGUUCAGGAUUUCAUUUCUAAUGGAGUCGAUGAUCUAUGAAACAAUAUGAAUGAACCAUCUUUUCAUUAAGACCAUGCCCGAGAGCAACAUUCAUAAGGGAGAUGAUGAACUUGGAGGUCUCCAGAAUCACUCACACUAUCGUAAUGCAAGUUUUCCAGCCUUUUGCUAUUUGUAGCUUGUGUUUCAUUUUUUAGAGUUAUAUUGAAAUAGAUAGUAAGUAAUUUAUAAUGUAUCCACCACGAUUUUACUAGAAAUUUUUU